rnacentral:tRNA from 1 species
AAGAAUGAGAACAAGAACUGCUAAUUCAUGUAACCAUGCCUAACAGCAUGGCAUUCUUA